UACGUAGGGGGCAAGCGUUGUCCGGAUUCAUUGGGCGUAAAGCGCGUGUAGGCGGCCAGGUAGGUCCGACGUGAAAACUGGAGGCUCAACCUCCAGCUGUCGUUGGAAACCAUCUGGCUAGAGUCCGGAAGAGGAGAGUGGAAUUCCUGGUGUAGCGGUGAAAUGCGCAGAUAUCAGGAAGAACACCAAUGGCGAAGGCAGCUCUCUGGGACGGUACUGACGCUGAGACGCGAAAGCGUGGGGAGCGAGCAGG
rnacentral:rRNA from 1 species